CCUACGGUGUGCAGCAGUGGGGAAUAUUGCACAAUGGGGGAAACCCUGAUGCAGCGACGCCGCGUGAGUGAAGAAGUAUUUCGGUAUGUAAAGCUCUAUCAGCAGGGAAGAAAAUGACGGUACCUGAUUAAGAAGCCCCGGCUAACUACGUGCCAUCAGCCGCGGUAAUACGUAGGGGGCAAGCGUUAUACGGAUUUACUGGGUGUAAAGGGCGCGUAGCCGGAAGGACAAGUCUGGAGUGAAAUGCCGGGGCUUAACCCCGGAACUGCAUUGGAAACUGUGCAGCUAGAGUGCAGGAGAGGUAAGUGGAAUUCCUAGUGUAGCGGUGAAAUGCGUAGAUAUUAGGAGGAACACCAGUGGCGAAGGCGGCUGACUGGAGUGUAACUGACGUUGAGGCUCGAAAGCGUGGGGAGCAAACAGGAUUAGAUACCCGUGUAGUC
rnacentral:rRNA from 1 species